AUAAACUGUAAAUACAACACUGAACAUGUCGCAACCUCAACAGAGCAGUGGCUCAAAGGUUAAGAGGUUGUUCUUGUGAAGUUGAAAGUUCAAAUUUUGCAUGAUCCUAGAAGCUUUUAGACGCUGCUCUCAAAGUGUAGGCUUAAAAGCCGCCAGAAGCAUCUCCAAAUGUGAAGGGUUCCUCAGUGGUGUAGUGGGUACGACGAUGAGCGUAAGUCGCAAGGCGUGCAGACCUCAUGAUUGAAUCCUGGGCACUGCUGGUUCCUGGACGACACAACAGUCCUGAAGGGACUCCAGGGGGGGGCGUGUCCUCCCUGCGUUUCCAGAGAGGUGGAAAGGUUAUGAAACUGAAAAGUAAAACAGUAAAAGACAGUAAAACAGUUGUAAAGGUUGGAAGGAAUCAAAGCCAACAUACUAACAUACUGUAGCAAGACAUUUGGAACAAAAGGUUACAUAGCGUGUGGUGUUUGUCAGUUAAUGCUUGAGAAUAGAGAAAUUCUUAUUAUAUUACAGCACACAAUCUGGAAUUAACUUUAGCUACUGGCUGGAUGGAGAUUUGAUCAAUGAUCAGUGUGUUUGCAAGAAAAACAGUGAAAAAAGCUUCUCCCUCACAUACACUUAAAAUAAAAUGAAAUGAAAUGAUUCACAGAAAGAUCAAGAAAUGUGAGCAAUAACAGCAAUAACAGAGGAAAAUUAAAGAUAAUGGGAAAAGAAAAUCAAAAUCCAGCUGGGGAGAUCAGGACAUACAGCAGAGGUUUAAUGCAAAGAUUACACAAUCCUCAAGUUGCUUCUGCCUUGUGAGUUGUCACGACGAUCUCUGUCAUGGACAAUAAAAAAAAAACACACAUACAGGCACAGAGCUAAAAAGCAACACAGGCCAAGAAAGAUCUGAGCAGUAAAGCAGCUGAGUGUGAUGAGGUCGUAAAGAUGGGAGUCGAUAGCGCAGGGAGAGGGGAAGUGUGAGGAGAAGCAGCAUCCAAGGCGGAUUAGAGAUAAGAGAGUCCACUCAAUGAGCACUAAUCUCAAUAGAAGGUAUUUCAGUGACUGCUCCUGUGUUGUCUUUGCUCUUGCUGCCUUCCUGUUUUCAGUGAAAUCAUGAGGAAGGGAGAAAAGCGUUGGUCCUCGCUGUAGCAACCAUACGAACCCAGAUGAAUGUAGAUGUGUACAAGGCACUUUUUUCACCGUGUACAAUGUGAUAUUAUGAUUUCUUUCAAUUGUGUAACAGCAAUGAAACUAUUUGUUUACAGAAUAACAAAGCUGUUUUAAUGUCAGUGUUUUUGAGGCAUAUGUUUACUUUCCUCAGUGUAAAGAAAUAAAACAAACCAUGUAUUUACUGUACAUCCUUUUUUUUACCAAGUCAAAGUCGCACUUCCCGUCUGAGAACGUUGUCCUCUUUACACUGACUCGCUUGUUCUCUCUUUUUUUAGUUAAUAAACGAAUCACUAGCGGGACAUCAGCUAAAAAAAAGAGAGCAUGAGCACAGAAGGACAGAAAAAAGAGCAACUGACACAAAAAGAGCAGAUUUGCAUAAGGAGCCUUUCGCGGUGUGACAGGAGGCGAGGAGGACACUUACUGUAUGGAGCUCCGAGGCCGGAGCUUCUAGUCCACGGGGACUUCUGGCUCUGACCCCUAAAAACCAGGCCUUGCUGACUGAAGGAGAAUAAUUAGACAGAUCAUCAUAAAAACAAUUUAUUUUUGUAUACUUUUUUAAGUUUAUGAUAUUCAAAAAAAGCUAACUAAUGUAUGUAUAUACAUAUUAUAUGUGUGUAAUAUAGUAUGUAUGUUUAACAAAAAAGGAAAAUUGUUAUUGCAAUGUAGAAGAAGGAGGUAAAUGAUGCCUUCUUCUGCUUCGUCCUUUGAUUGUCCACCUCCCUCCCCCAUCGCCCCCUGCUGGAUGGGGCAGGAGCCAUGGGGAGUGGGCAGACCAGGGGGAACAGGUCCAACAGACAUGCCACUAUGUGAUUGUUAUGGGAAAACGGAGCAGUCUUUAUUCGAAGCGUUUCCAGCCUGUCUUCCACUGACUGACUGCGGUAGUGUAGUUUCUACUUUUCUGGUUAGUUUUGUCAAGUAGUCAGCAUUUUGUGGAUUCCAGAAAAAAAGAAGCAUAUGAUUAAAAUACAUAUUCUUACAUUUGUCUGUGCAAAUAGAACUAAGAGGGAUGGAAUUAAACCUUUCUAUUCGUAUGGAUCUCUACUUUAGUGGCAUCCUUCUGUAUUCAAACAUUGUACUAAUAACAUGCUGUCAGGUAUGGAUGGAGAGUCAGUUGUAGCCAUUUACUAAUGUUGUAUUUAUUGUAUUACCAGUAAAAAACAUUUAUAUAUAAAUAUAGAUAUAUCUAUUUGUGGUCUGCAAUUCUUGCCCUUAGUUUUUAAUUGUCAUGCAGGAUCCAAUGCACUGUCAAUGUAUGUUCAUUUUUCUACUUGUGUGAAGUUCUGUUGACAUUUCUAUGGUUUUGUUUUUCUUUAGUUCAGCUACUGAAUGUAACUUCGAAAACUCUUAAACUUUUUAGGUAGAUGUUUUUAUAUACAUACAGUAAUCUGUAAAUUAUAAACAUGUAGAUGAUAUAGCAAAAUGUUUCUGACAAUAUGCUGGACUUCUUCUUCUGAUGACCCAAACAGACUGUAAUGCCUUGGCCAGACGAUAAGAAAAGAGAGGAAGGAAAUGAGAAAAAAAAAUGGAGGCGGACGAGGGAUGCAUUUAAAAAUAACACCAGUUCUCUGCAGCCUUAGGGAUCUGGAGGGAGAGACUUCAAUGUAAAUGCUACAGGAUCAGUCCCAAUCUUUGUCAGCCAGGGGUUUUAAAAUGUAUAAACGCAAGGAGACGUGGUGCAGAAAAAGAUGGGGAAAGUAAAUAUAUUUCAAAUGGCGGAAAUAACAGACACUUCCAUUUGUCUCUGAGAACAGACGCUGGGUCUCCACUGUAGAGCUUCCUACUGCAGGUCAAAACCACAGAGAGUCUGAUCUACCUUCUUUACCUCUUGUGACGUGUGUGCGGAUUCAGAAUAUUAUAAAUCCUGUCCCAUGAUCAUUGUUUAAUGUGAAAAACAAAAUGUGACAUUGUUAUUGUCUGUGUUCAAUGUAUAAUGUUACAAUGUGUUCCACUCACUGGCAUUUUAUUAGGUUCACCUGCUAUUGAGGAGUUUGAAUAAGGUUUUCAUUACGUGGUGGCACAUGACACACUACAGUGUGAGUUCACAAUAAUAACCAGUAAGAAUGAGACGAUGGACGUGUAAAACAGUCCCAUUAAUAGCAGGGUUGUCAUGUUGAACAGACUUAGACUGUGCAGACGUACCUAAUAAAGUGGCCGGUGAGUGUUUAUCAUUUCAGAUCGUACAUAUAUGCAAGAGUCAUGCGAGAGGAUAUGAACCUUCAAAACUUUGUAGUCACUUAAAAAUUAGUUUUUGACAGGAAAUCGGAUUUUCGAUAAAUCAAUAUAUUAAAGAGAUCCAGUGUAAAGCUUGUUAAUACUGUCUUCUAAUGAAAGCCAGUGUUCAGAUAGCAGUCAAUGAAAGAAGUGCCAACGUUUACUGUGUUGAUGCUUCCGUUGGCUCAGCUCAGAUGUGUGUAGGAAUACAGACAGCUGUCUUUUUAACCAAUGAAAUCCCUUCAUUUGUUGUGUGUGAUAUAUUGAAAUGAUCCUAGCCUGUAUGUUGGAGCCCUUCGUAUGAGGCAGUGGGUCAUGACCAGAUGUUUACUCCUCAUCAUCGUCUUUAUUCUUUCUUGUCCAGUUUAUCUUUGCAAACAAACUUGGACUCUCGUGUUAUUCUUUUGACGACUGUGGCUCAGUGUGAGGCCUUUCAGUCGUACAUCCCAGGUAUGCAAAUGCAUUUAUUUCUCUCUCUCAGCUGAGCGUGUGCGGCCGGCGGCUUUGUUUUCAGUGUCGUGGACGAACCCCUGGAGGAACGUCUUAAAGCAUCACAGACUGGGACUAAACCACUGCGGGUGCAUCCUGCGGACGGACUUUUUUUU